AACGAACGCUGGCGGCGUGCCUAACACAUGCAAGUCGAACGGAGAUAAGAAGCUUGCUUCUUAUUUUAGUGGCGCACGGGUGAGUAACGCGUGGAUAAUCUACCUGAUGCUCUGGGAUAACAUCUCGAAAGGGGUGCUAAUACCGGAUAAGCCCACGAUCUCUUCGGAGAAUGCGGGAAAAGGAGGGGACCUUCGGGCCUUCCGACGUCAGAUGAGUCCGCGUCCCAUUAGCUAGUUGGCGGGGUAAUGGCCCACCAAGGCAACGAUGGGUAGGUGGUCUGAGAGGAUGAUCAGCCACACUGGAACUGAGGCACGGGCCAGACUCCUACGGGAGGCAGCAGUGGGGAAUUUUGCGAAAUGGGGGAAACCCUGACGCAGCAACGCCGCGUGAGUGAUGAAGGCUUUCGGGUCGUAAAGCUCUGUCAGAAGGGAAGAAAUGUAGGUGGCUAAUAUCCAUUCUACUUGACGGUACCUUCAAAGGAAGCACCGGCUAACUCCGUGCCAGCAGCCGCAGUAAAAC
rnacentral:rRNA from 1 species